rnacentral:snoRNA from 1 species
AGCCCAUGGUGACGGUACUUUCUCAAAAGGUCCUUGUAUCUCUCCCAUGCAUCAUAGAGUGUUUCUAGAUCCAUCUGCACAAAAGAAGAGAUCAUUCCUUAAUUU